GCCAGAGUCUCCUAAUAAAACUUGCUCAUGAACACUAGCUUUCUAGAUUUGCUUAGAUCAACCUAGCACCAAGUUGCAUAGGACAGCCUCUGCAAGGUCUCAAAGUUGCUCCGACAGACAGAAAUUCAGAACAGAGCUGCCUGAUUAGGACCCAUGAACCUGAAGCCCAACUUGAGCAUCAUUUUCCUUGAUUUUUGGCACAGGAUCAAGCCCAUAUUUCUUAAGAACAUUUAAUCCCCUUUUAAUGACCUCUAAUUUAUCUACACAGCUCAUAGACUUUACCCCACUAGAUUGGACACAAAAAGACUCCAAACCUAGCUCGAUACACUGCUCUAUAGGCUUCAGAUUACUGUGUGUGGUCUGAACAUUCAGAGUCCUAUUAGCUCUGUUUGGGGUAUGUUUUCAGGAGAUUUCAUAGUGUUUCAGGGUUGGGUCUCUUAAUUGAACUUAUACCCCUAUAAUAGCUCUACCAUUUUGAUGUACUAACCUAGGACAGAAUCCUCAUGAAUGAAGAGAUAUACAGCCCCAAAGAUGGUCCAAAUUACUGCAAUUCAGACCUAGUCACAUGAGAGGUGUAGAGGGGCCUUUUGCAAAUAAGCCCCAAUUCUCAUCUUUUGGCUUGGAAAUCCUCAAAUGUGUCAACCAUAUGAUUUGAGCUACUCCAAUACCUUGGUUUUUGCACUUGGGUCCAAAAGUAUGCAAAAUUUACAUAUAACCCCUAGGGUUUCAAUUUGGGGUUUUAGUGGUCCUUUUAGGGUUUUGGCACUUCUAGAGUUAGAGUGUCACUUAAGUCCAUUAAUGGUGAUAUCUUAUGAGUAUUUCUCAUGAGUUUUGAAAUUUUCUCAUGCUUGGGAUUUAUUAUCCCUCCUAAGCCUGGU
rnacentral:lncRNA from 7 species